AGAAUUGCUUGAACCUGAGAGGUGGAUAUUCAGAGCAACAUAAAGGCCUAAAGAUAGUUAUGUAUCCAGAAGUCUUUGCAAUGCUGUAGUAGUAAUCUCUUGAUGAUGAUGAUUUAUCCAGGUGCAGUAGUUGAAUACAGAUAUGUGUAUUAAAGGCUUUUUCUCCUGCCCUACUUCUUUGCUCUUUCUUUCUUGUUUUGUUUUGCUUUAUUUUUGGUUGUGUUGUUUUGUUAGUAUAGUUGUUUAUAUGAGUGUUACUGUAAUUAAUAUAGUUGAUAGUUUUUCAGUAUUUUUUACUUACUCCAAUUUAAAGUUUCAUCAUUAUGACAUACACAGUAAUUUGGCUUGCAUAAUGCAAGUGCUAUAGCCAGUUGUUAUUUGAAGUAAUUGAAUAACGGUUAGUAGAAUAAAAUAAAAACUGCUCUACUUCUAGCAAUUUAAUUUUGCUGUUGUAUUAUAAAGGACCCAAGCGAGUUUAUACAUAUUGCUCUUCUUUAUCUGCUUUUAACUACCAGAUUCUGCUAACUAAAAAACUGAUAAUUUUUCUGUUAAGUCUCUAGAAUAUACCAAAUUUUAGACUUCUGUAUAUUUUCAUUUCGAGUGUUAAAAAUAUUCCAUUCUAAUAAUACCACACAUUUGUUCAAAGUAAAUGUAUUAGAGUAAAUGGAAAACAAAACUUCCCUAUGAAUGAAUUCAUCAAGUAAAUGAAUAAAAUAGAUAGAAUGCAAAUGUCCCAGUUAUUUAUAUUCUGAUAUUUGACUAAGAUACAUGAAAAAUAAUUUCUCAGGACUUCACAUUGCUUGAUGACAAUGUAACUUGAUUCCAAUUGUCAUAUAAAACAAUAGUUUCUGUUUUGCUUCCCCAAAUUUUGUCACAUCCAAUCCAGCAGAGAUGAUGUAUGAUCCACCACAAAUUAGGGAAAACAACGGUUCGUGUCAGCUGAAUCUGAAAAUACAUUUGUUAUAUCUCAUUUCUUUGGUUUCCUUCAUUAAAGAAUACACUCCGUGGGUCCAAUUCAGAUUGUACAUUAUUGUUCAAUCUCCCAGAGCAAAACACUAUUAUGUUGCCUUUCCCCCCAGUUAAUGGCAUUCCAUUGGAAAUUAAAUUAACGCAUUUUAUGCAGAAUUGUUUUGAAUUGACAAAAAUCAGCAUGAGAAGUAAGUAAAAAUUUAAUAUAUUUCCUAAGGGUUUAAACUAAUGGUGUAAACUCAGUAAAUGAACAAAUUAAGAAUGCUAGUGUCAAAUUGGCCACUUUUAGUUAAAACUUACCAGUUUUGUUAUCUCAUCAUUAUGAGCCAGCUCCUAUGAUGCUUACCAAAAUCUAACAUUAUUUUACAAAUUUGUUUGUUUAAUAUCCAUCUUUUUAGCACUAGAAAUACGCUCUCUGAGGGUAGAAAUGUUAUUCUAAAUUACCCCCCACUAAUUUUUAAUUGGCUUUCUUUCCCACUACAAGAAUAUAAUCUCUGUGAUGGUAGGAAUUGUUAUGUUUUAUUCACCACAGUGUCACAGUGCCUAGAAUAGUGCCUGACACACAUUUGGAAUUUAAUAAAUAUUGGUUAAAUAAGGGAAAUAUUUACUGGAUAUUCACAACUAGAUAUACACAGCAUACUAAUAAACUUAUGUAACUUUGGAUUUUAGAUAAAGUCCAAAUUAAUAAGGAUCUGCCCCUAAGACGCUGAAGGCUCAAAUGAAAUGCUUUUGUUUUCAUAAACAUGAUGAGAUUGUAUCCUUAAAAAUAUGAUGAGAUUGCAUCCCUAAUAUGUUGUUUUGAGCAUUAUCCCAAUGCUUACCAGAACACCUUCUUAUGUUAGACCCAAGUUCUGGCAUGAGGAAGUUUCCUCUAUCUCAAAUCCUGACUUAGUUUAAAAAAAAGAAAUCCAAAAAGUAAAAAGUUUUGGGAGCUGGAAUUCCCUUUUGAUGUCCAUCUUUAAAAUUAAAGAAGCUGAGGUUUGAAAAGGCUGUUAGAUUGCCCAAGUCACCAUGGGUAUUUUGAAAACUGCAUGCCAUUAUACAUUUUUUUUUUUUUAAUGGAGAAAAGGGAAAACUACCAUCAGCACAAAGAGAAGAAAAUGUUAUCUAUGGUGAUCUCCUUGAUGUUAAAGAUGGUAUUUUCUUCAAAAAGGGAUUUAAAAAAAUAUGAUUGAUUUCAAAUACAUCAACUCUCCAUUUAUAAUGGUAGUAGGGUGGGGAAAGAGGCUGGUAAGAGGUGCGACUGCUAUUGUGAUCAUAUUGAAUAUAGGAAGUUCAGACAUCUGUUCUGAAAAUAUUGAUUGCUAUAAGGUAGUUUAGGGUUGACAUGUCUUGGAAGGGUAGGAGAGAAGAACUCUUAAUCUGUGUGACCAAGGCUGCAAGGAAGCAGGUGAGGAGCCAGAUGCUACUGCUCCCAACUGUCUGCUGAUGUGCAGCAUGGAAAAGGAAAUUGUCAUCAGGAAGCUUCUAUUCAGUGUUUUCAUGUGAGUGUAUAUACCUCACUUUCCCUGAAACCCCAAACAUACACCCACACAUGGUAAUGUUCCAGAUCCUUAAUACAAACCAUUAAAUAUAAAUGUCCUUUAGAAUGUUCCCUCAUUGAAAGGUUGUUCCCUGGUGUCUAUUUAUGAAACUACAAAACUCGGUAGAUGAUUUGGACUUUUAUCUUAUCUUCACCACCCACUAAUGUGGACUUGGGCAAUUACUUCUUCUCACUAAUUUCCCGUAUCUCCUCUUUAAAAGAGAGACACCAAUAGUACCUACCUUACUGGGUAUGUUAGAGGACAUAAACCCAUAAAUACUGUGAUUAACACAUAAUAUGUGCUCAGUAGAUAUUAGUGAUGGAUAUUAUGAUGAUAGUGACAAUGACAAUAAAGAGGAACUUUCAUUCCACAUUUCUGAUGAGAAAAAUGAUCAGAAAGUCAUCAUAACAUCCAAACUAUAAUAUGUUUCCCAGUUUGUUCAACCCAUGUUUCUAUUUUAAAGAUGUGCAGAGUGAGGCUCAAAAAGAUGAAGAGUUGCCUAAGUGUACAAAAUAUGUUAGUGAUGCUGGGAGAUGGGAGGUGUUUCAGAAGUGCAGUUAAAUUUUUUUAAAAUAAAGGUGGUAGGUUUGAACAUUCUGAUUUUCAAUGCUGGUUCUACCAUUUCUUAGCUAAAUAAAUAAAUUUUGAGAAAAAUUCUUAAAUCUUAUUAUCUUAAUUUUUCUCUGUGGCCAAUGGCUACAAUAAUGAUAACAUGAACUUCAUAGGGUGGUUGGGAGGACACAGUGGGGAAAAAUGCAGAGAGGGACACUUUCUCCAUAGGUGCCCCCAGAGAAAAUAUUAUAAAUACAAUGAAUAUUUAACCACAUUAUUGCAGUAAAUAUUGUGAUGGGUUUCCUCACCUUUAUUUGGCAGCGACUAAUGAGAUGAUGUCCGAAUGCAAUUCCGUGAAAGCAGUUCUAGAAUCAGCCAGUCCAGUGUGUUCCAGUUUUGCCUCUUUCUGCUUCAUCCCACGACUAGACAUUCAAAAGCCAGAAGAGUUUGCUAUGUGUAUUGCAUCUUAGAUUCCUUUCUCUGGUAAAUCAUGGGAACCAGUGGCAAACAGAGCUUAAAAGAGUAGCCCAAAGAAGAGGCUCCCCAUCUUUUGGUGGAAUUUGAGGCCACCUUUCCUAGAAGGAAGCCUGAGCAAAUGCUGAUUAGACUAAAAACAAAAACAAUACAACAAAAAAAACUCCACAUGGGCAGACAAGAGAAUGUACCUGAUUAAGCUGUCAUUGACAGCAGUUGCCACUACUUGGACAGGUAGUCAUUUUUCAUGUCUUUAUUCUCUUCAUCCUCACAGUGAACAAGGGAACAUAAAAUACAUGUGUUCAUUUUUUUCUUACGCUUUAAGAAUGAACUUUCUUACCUGGUAAUAGACAAAUAAACCUAGUGAAAAACAUGGACAUGAGAAGUCAAUGUUUACAGAAUGUUGUGUAGGAAGGAUCAGCUUCUGUAGGCCCCAACCUCCACCUGCAAUUCUAUGCCGGUGUGGCCAGAAGAGACCUGAUAAAGAACACUGCACAUUUUUUAGCUCUCCUGCCCAUAGCAAAUAAUGUUGACACAUCACAACUUUUAGGAAGUCUUCAAGAAAAGAGAAGGGGGAACUUCCCCAAAAUGUCAGACUCACUUACCCCAGAGUUGGCUGGGAACAGAUCACAAGGAAAAAUGUUUUUUUAAAAAGAUGCCUGAUCCUCUGCAUUUUAGCCAGCCAAACCUUGCUGAUUAUCUGUUCAUUGUAAUGUUCAGUAUUGCUUGCCAGAGAGGUUUUCUUUUGUAGAAAUGUUGUUGGUCUUGUUUUUAAUAGUCAUUUCUCAGGCAAAAUGUGAGUGAAAAGGAACACGGAGUCAUAAACAUGGAGCUGGAAAGGAUAUUAUAGGUCAUAUUUAAGAAGGCAUACACACACACACACAUAAUUUUAGUAGAGUCACUGGCAUAAUAAGUGCUAUAGAAAUUUAGCUAUCAGUAUCAUUAUUAAUAGUACUUCUAUUCCUACUUUUGUUCAUGGGUCAGAAUCACCUUGGUUGCUUAUUACAAUUCAGAUUCCCUGGCUCCUUCUCAGACUUACCAAGCUAAAAUUGUACACAUCCUGGGGAAUCUGUAGUUUGAGGGAGAUCUCAGUUUAUUCCAAUGCUGACAGCCAGGCAGUAAGCCACAAAAUGGAAUUUAGCAACCACUGACAAACUCACCUUCCUUUUUAGGCAGGGAAUAAAUUGAGACUUGGAGACAUUAAGAAACCACCUUUUUUUUCUUACAGAUUUUUUUCUUAAGUCUAGAUUUUUCAUAUAAACUACCACAAAUCCUUUUUCUCCAAGAGUACCCUUUAGGAAAUGAAUAAAAAUGACUCGCCUAAGGUAGCACAAUCAGUUAGUGGCAGACUAAGGAAUAAAUCCUCCUUGUUUUCCACUGCCAGUUCAUGUUUUCUCCCUAGAACCACACACCCUUCCUCAGUUAAUGCCACUUGCCCUAAAAGCAAGGUUGUUGCUUGUGUGCAAUUAAACUGAAUCCCAUCUAACAAUGAAAUGCUACCUUAAAGCCCAUGGCGUGGGAGUGAAGACUUUUUGCAACAGCCUUUUACUCAAUUCUAGCUUCAGGUUUCCUAUAUGUAUUGCCAUCCUCCAUGCUUUUCAAACUUUUAAAAUCCAGUAGCAGCUAUUGCACAGGGCUUUAUCCACAGUGUUAGGGCAGAAUGGAAAAAGCAAUUGUUGAUGUCAGUAGUAAACUCAUUCAAGCAUUGCUCAAUUUUGUCUCGCAAAUCUUAGACAAAAGAUUAUUAAUAUAUUCACAAAGAAGGCACUUGACAUUUUUUAUCAUUCUGCUCUGCUUUUGUCAGCACAACAAAAUUUAAAAUAAACUCUAGAUCAGAUUAUAUUUAUAGUUUAAAUCAAAAUCUACCCUUAUUGUUGCUUCAUUCAAAGGCACUUAGGUGACCAGCAGGCCUCUUUCCUUAUAAGUGACUGGAACGGCAAACUUUAAUAGAAAAUUUCCUCCCACUCUAGAACAGUAGAUAAUUCCUGAGUAAAGCUUACUCCAGCUGCAUACAUUUUGAUGUUUCAUGGGAAAAUCAUGUAGACACAUUAUUGUACACUGCUUAAGGCAACCGUUUUGAACUUGUUUUCUGCAUUUUACUUUUCCUUUAUUCCGAUUCUGGUGUUUGUGAUAGCUUAGAUUUAUAUAGCAUAGAAGCCCCAAUAAAGAAAGAAGUAUAGAAUUUCAGUGCUGGGAAUGAGAUAGAUGGUGAUAAAUAGAUACUUGAUCCGAUUAAUAGACCUGAUUUUCACAGCAUCUUUUUUUGUCUUGUAAACAUUCAGCUUCUCUUAUUUAAAAAAAUAACAUAAUAAAGGAUCGUUCUUGAUGCGGUUCUGGAUCCAGUAUAAAUUGAAGCAUGUGGAGGCCUUAGAGUACAGGGGCUGGGCAGAGCUUCCUCAUUAGUUGUCCCAUAGCAUAGUGGGUCCUAGACUUGACCUUCACAAACCAGUAGUAAUGCACACACACACACACACACACACACACACACACACAGUGGUAACAGGUUGGAAGGGACACUUCAAAUUAAUACAAGAACAGAAGAUGUAAAAUUAGUAAUCAAACUGGGAGCCUUUUGUGAUGAGAGCAGCAAAUGCGCUUGAGUAUCUCAGAAGAUAACAGGUUACAUUCAUUUUUCCUUGGUAGCUAAUUUAACUCUCCUGUUUUAUAGCUCACAUGCCUCUGUCCUUGCAUUAUUAGCUAAGUCGACAUUUCUCACGGAAAGGUCGUCCUUAGUGGUGAUCAUUUGCUGCUACAUAAAGCAAACAACACUGCACAUACAUACACACACACACACAGGAAUUUUUUUUUAAAUUGAUGACACAGAGAAUUAGCAGUUUCUUGCUCACUGCCUUGUCAACAUCUUGGAUUUUUAUCUCUAGUAGCCACUGCUGUGGCCUGCCUUUAAUGACUCUACUUUAUGUUUUACCAUAGCUGCUACUAAGGUGUGUUUUAUUUUUUCCCCACCACAAACUAUUCUUUACAGAAGAAUGUUAAUUAGUAACUGAUAGACAUAAAGAUUGCCAGCGACAGCCCAUUAAUUCCAUUUACUUUAAUAGGACUUAGAACUUAGCUUGCAGUACAGCUGUAUUCAGACUGGAUUAUAAAUGUAAUUUUUUGCAUCAUUAACUUCCCUGAUUAAUCUUAGACAGCAAAUGCAUAAUUUUCAGGGGAAAAAGCCACCCAGUAUUUGCAGCAAGGAGUCCGGCUUUAAAAGUUGUGCUUUUGCAGCCUUCCUAUUAACAUGAUUGCAAGUAGCACAGGUUUUUACAAGAUAAAGAUUGCUUACCAUUGCUUAACGGUUAACCAGGUAUUUCCUGCUUCGGAAAAUAAUGUGUGUGUGUGUGUGUGUGUGUGUGUGUGUGUGUGUGUGUGUGUGUACGUACGUACGCGUGCCUAUGUGCACAGUAUAAGCACACAGGCACAUAGCUUUGCUUACCUACAAUGUUAUUCACUUACAAUGAUUUUGCAUAGUAAUAGCAUAGUGUUAAGUGGUUUGCAUGUGUAGCUUUCCCUUUCAGGGCUCUGGGUCCCUUGUCAAUGCUGCCUCUUGACACUGUUAUGGAAAAUGCCUCUUGCUGAGACAUUUCAGGGGUUAAGUGUACUGGCAAGCAUUGUGUCACAACCACCCAUGUCCCUGUUGGGUAUAUGACUCAGGAUUCAGCCUAUCCGGCAAAAAUGAAACUCAGAAUCAGAUAGAUUAAGGGCAUUCAAAUAAGAAAACUAGUGGGCUGAGACUGAAAUAUUUUGCCUGGCAUUCAGUGCUACACAAUGCUAAAAGGACAGGCUGAUGUGCUAAAGGGAAAAUGCCCUGGCAUACAGGUAGUAUGAAUCCCAGGCUGUAUGCAAUAGCUGCUUUGAAGGGUGCCAAUCAUUGUCUUGUUAGUAUAAAAUGGCACUUUAUUCACAUAAAGCUUCCUGCUAGGGAAGAUGAGAAAAAAAUCUCACCCCAAUCUUGUGCCUGUCACUGAAAAGAGCCACUAAGAGGGGAUUUCGGAGAUGAGGGCAGAGGAAGAGAAGGUUUUAAAAAUUCUCUUCUUUUUAGGACUUUUCUGUAAUGAGCUAUGAUGAUUCAUUUGAUUAGUGGUCAGCCCCAUCUCAAGCAUCUUUCCUUUGUUUUGGAAAAGAUAUUAGAGGACCAGUGCCUAGAUCCUUUUUGGCUGAUUUAAAAUACAAAGUAGACAGAGAUUUUUUAGCCAGACUGCUUUUAUUUCACACAUAAACUUCCUCAUGCUGUAUUUCUGGUGUACACUUCAUUACUUUCUAAAAUAACUUUUCCUUAUGUUAAAAUAUGUGCACAUUUUUUGUAGACAGGCCCUUGAAUACCUACAAUGUCAAUUCUUAGAGCUUUUAGUCCAGUUAAUCAUACCUGUGCAUUAGAUUUUUUUAGUAUUCAUUGAAGAGAGGUGCUGGUGGGGACCCAGAACCAAGGGCCUUCCGUGUCAGUACACAUAAGUAGCCACUUCCCCUCAUUCUUUCUCAGGCACAGUGUGUACAAAUUAGUAGGGAUUGUAGUUACCAGAGUUCUGGACAUCUCUUAAUCUGAUGCAGUUCCCCGAAUCACCUUAGCAAUUAGGUCUAGAAUAUAGUGGAGUCUUCCCCAUCAUUAGUCCCUCAGCAGACCAGGGCUGGGAAAACAGAAGCUGCUGCAGGUUUUGCAACCCUUACCACCAUUCCCCAGAUGGACAAAGACUUGUUCUCCUCAAGGAGUUUCUAAUGGAAUAGAGUCUGUCUCUGAUAAUAGUGCUAGUGUUAAACGGGAAAAUAAUGUGUACAUCAGAUUUGUGUUUUAUCAAUGUUGUUUUGGUUGGAUGAUGGGGUAUGAAUUUAGAAAGUAAAAAUUACAGAUAUGCCUACUUGAACCUAAAUACGCAUGUGCUCAUAUGCAUAGACACAUACACACACAAACAAGAUAGUUUAACAUUUCAAGGCUUCUGUACUGUUAGGGACUAAGUGCAUUAUACCCAUGCACAGCAAGCCAGUCACUGUGAGGAUGGGUUUUUGCAAAAGAUAAAAGAUUGUAUUUACAAGCCUGCCAUGUGAGGAGAUGAGAGAACAAAUCUCAAAUCUGCUUCCCCCAAAAUAGUACUUGGGUAUACCUAUGGGAUAAGAAACAGGACAGUCUAAAGUGUGGGGAGAGGUGAUUGGUGGGUAGAGAGGAUGAGGUAAUUGGGGUCUCUGGGCAAGUGUAGUCUAGCUACAUGGUUCGCUGUAGGACAUGCGCAGAAAACGGCAGCAUUAGCAUGAUCUAAGAGUAGAGUUCUGGUUCUCUGAUGUCAGAAGUUCCCUCCUCAGGCACCUGUGCAGGCCCACUUGAAGGAUUGUUAGUCUCAACUGGCUUGACCUUGGCAAGAGCUAUCCCCCAGUUCCUGAAAAAACAACUUUAAAUGCCAUUGCUGUAGUGACCCAUGGUCAGAGAUGUUAGCUACAAGGAAGCCAGUGGGACUUUUAAGAUUGACUAGAUGUAAGUGAUUAAAAGUAAGUAAGGCAGAUAUGUUGGAUGGGCAGGUGAGUUUAGCUCUUGGUUUCGCUAUAGUAUUGCUUUAUGUUGGGUAGAUUUUUGUUCUUUAACUGAUAGGCUUUUUUCCUUAUAUAAGAUUCCCAUCCUCACCAGUGUUUCCCAAUUUAUACCUAAAGAAUCUAAGGUGUAUUGAUUUAUGUCACUUUAUAUUUUAAAAAUAUAUAUUUGUUACUCAUUUACUAUGUAAUUACUGGGAUAUAAAGAUCAUUCAGACAUGCCUCUUUUUACCUAAUUCAAUCUGAAUAGGGUACAACAUGAAUUUUCUAAGAUUGCUAUAACAAAUUACCACACAACGGGUAGCUAAAAACAGCAGAAAUUUAUUCUGUCACGGCUCUGGAAGCCAGCCGUCCAGAAUCAGGUACUGGCAGGACUGGCUCCUUCUGAAGGCUUUAGACGAGAAUCCUUCUUUGCCUCUUCUUAGCUCCUGCAGGCUUCUGGAAAUCCGUGGCAUUCCUUGGCCUGUAGCCACAUCACUCCAGUAUCUGACUCCCUCUUCACAUGGCCAACUUUUCCGUGCAUCUGUCUGUGAAAUCUCCCUUUGCUUCUAUCUUCUGAGUACAUUUACAAUGGCAUAUAAGGCCCAUCAGGAUAAUCCAAGGUAAUCUCUUUCUCUCAGCAUUCUUAAUUAUAUCACAAAGACCCUUUCUACAAAAAAGUAAAAUUUACUCUCUUGCUAUAUAAAAUAAUAUUCAUAGGUUUAUGGGAUUAGGACAUGGACAGAUCUUUUUUUUGCAGGGAGGUGGGGGACACCAUUCAACCCACUGCAUAGGAGAAAAGAAAUAAUUGUACCAGGAAUCUUUCAUUCACAGUGAUAGACAUGCUGUUAAUUCAAAGUUAAAAUCCCACAAAUGGAGAACUGGAAGGGCCUGUACAGGUUGUCAGCUACAGAAAGCUUAAAAGUUACUUUCCUGGCUGCACACAACUUCUUAGGGGUGUAGGAGGGAAAGAAGGCCAUUUUCUUGGCACCUCACCCAGUGUUCUUUCCCUUCUGCCGUGCAGUCUCAAAAAUCUUAGCAAGGGCACUAGAGCUAAGUACUUUAUAAAACAAUAUGAUAGACGUCAAAGGACGUCAGUGCAACAAAGGACCUUAGCCGUAUAAUGGAGUGGCCAAGAGCAUCUAUUCUUGAACUGAAUCUACUUUUCAAUCACUGCUGUUUUGACCUUGAGCAAGAUACUUAAAUUCAUGCUUUGGGUUUCUAAAUCUGUGGAGCAAAAAUUAUAAAAGUACCUUUCUCUUGGGGUUGUUCUAGGAAGUGAACUAAUAUACAUAAAGCAUUGGGGGUUAGCUGGACCACAGGAACACUCUGUAAUGUUAGCUGUCGCUAACAAGUAUCUAAUCCAAAUACCUUUUUUUACAGAUGCUCGCAGGAGGUCCUGAGAGUUGUGACUCCCUCAAGGUUACAUAGCUAGUGAAUAACAGAGCUGCGACUCAAACAUAGCUGUCUCCAACCUAGUUUGGUUCUUUGCAUGCAGCGGCCACAUUACUCACACCCCCUUGCCAGGGAAAGUUUGACAUAAAGAACUUAGGUUAUUGUUUUGAGCACAUGAUAGCUGAGAGACCUCGCCAUCAAUUUUAUUAAACGUAAGCUUAGAAAUGAAAAUUUUUUGUAUCUUUAGUGGCUAGAGAAGCCAGAAUUCUAAUACUUAACACAUUAAGGCUGGUAAAUGUAGAAAUUGUUAUUGAUGUCACAGGUUUCAAGGUCAGACAGGAGACUGCUCAAAUUCAGGCUAUUGCAAAAAGAAAAAAAAUAUGAGGUUUGUAUUUUAAGAUACAUGAUAGUGGAAAAUCAAUGUGUUCUUGUGAUUUAGGCAGAUAUGAUACCUUCUGACUUUUUUAAGACCUUUCAAAAAAUGAUCAGGGAAAGGAAGUAAUAAUUUGGAUGUUUGCUACUAUAAAGAAUUCUAUUGCAUUUUCAGAAAUGAUGACAAAGUAUGCAUUUCCUUUUAUAACAUUGAAAUCACAGCUUCAAAGUGACCUGUGUUAGUAAUUAUCAUCUUAUUUAUCAAAAACAUAUAAAAAUCAUGAAAAGUAUUUUGUUCUCUGUAUUUAGACAUUAAAUGUUGUAGUUAAUGAGUGCUAUUUCUAGAGAUGUUUAUGAUUGUUUAGGAGAUGUUUUAACAAUCCACAUACUGAGUACAGCAAGCAAUAUGAAGUAAGCAUGGGAACAUGAAUCUUUUUUAUGAUAAAACUAGUUAAAUUUAAAGGCUGGACAAACAUUUGUGGUUUGCAAGACUAAAUAUGCCUUUUUUUGUAGAGGUCACUUUAGGAAUAAAAGUGUAUUUUGCUGUGACUGGUUACUUAGCAUAAUAGUAGAAGGUCUCCCAACCUCCCUCAAAAAUUCUCCUGCAAGGAAAUUGAUUUUCUGAUGGAAGGUACUGAAGGGUAUCUUUAGCAUCAGUGGAGAAGCAACUAAUUUAGCACUAUCAGUGAGUUAGAUAUCGGUAUAUUCCAAGCAGUAAACAAAAAUUAAGCCAUUCCUUGCCCUGUUUCUAUUAGUCAGAUUCCUUUGCAAGGAAAUAUGAAUUAUGGUCACCCUGGACUCUCAAAUCACCUCUGAUAUUAUGUGUUCUCAUCCCUUUGGUUGACCUUUAAUGACAUUGUGUACAUUGUCAUUAUAUGAUUACUAUUUUUCUUUUUCUGGUUUUCUUUUUAAAUUCUUUUAUUUUGCUCAAUUUUUUAACCUUAAAGGAAAGGUUAGUCUUAAGGUAGUUUUUAUUUAAUUCUAAUGGAUUUCAGCUUAUUUAAACUGAGAAAACUUAAUACCUGAUUACAAUUUUUAUUUUCCUGUUCUCCAAGAAUUAAUUCUAUUUCUUAAAUUUUCUACUUAUUAAUUCUGAUUAGCUUUUCAGAAAGUUGUCUGUUCUUAUCCUAGGUAAAGAAAACCACUCAGAUUCUUGAAGCCAUGUUUAGAUUAGCUUGCUAUGCCUUUCCCUUCUUUCACUGAAUAAUGAGGUCUUUGCAAAUUGAUUUUUUUAACUAAUACACACACACAUACACACACACACACAUACAUGCACAUAUACACACACACAAUUUCUCCAUUGUCCUUACAGUCAUUCUCUCCAGAAAUUAGAUAGCGGAGGCUUAUGAGAUGGUUUAGCCAUCUGCAACCCUAACCAUCCUAAGGCUUUCAAAUAGGAAAUGAAAAAUAAAGCAAAGGACAACUGAAAAAAA